rnacentral:rRNA from 1 species
ACUGAGACACGGCCCAGACUCCUACGGGAGGCAGCAGUGGGGAAUUUUCCGCAAUGGGCGAAAGCCUGACGGAGCAAUACCGCGUGAGGGAGGAAGGCUUUUGGGUUGUAAACCUCUUUUGUCAGGGAAGAAAAUUUGACGGUACCUGAAGAAAAAGCAUCGGCUAACUCCGUGCCAGCAGCCGCGGUAAUACGGAGGAUGCAAGCGUUAUCCGGAAUAAUUGGGCGUAAAGGGUCCGCAGGUGGCCAUUCAAGUCUGCUGUCAAAGACCGUGGCUCAACCACGGAAAGGCAGUGGAAACUGUUUAGCUAGAGUACGGUAGGGGUAGAGGGAAUUCCCAGUGUAGCGGUGAAAUGCGUAGAUAUUGGGAAGAACACCGGUGGCGAAAGCGCUCUACUGGGCCGAAACUGACACUGAGGGACGAAAGCUAGGGUAGCGAAAGGGAUUAGAUACCCCUGUAGUCUUAGCUGUAAACGAUGGAUACUAGGUGUAGCUUGUAUCGACCCGAGCUGUGCCGAAGCUAACGCGUUAAGUAUCCCGCCUGGGGAGUACGCACGCAAGUGUGAAACUCAAAGGAAUUGACGGGGGCCCGCACAAGCGGUGGAGUAUGUGGUUUAAUUCGAUGCAACGCGAAGAACCUUACCAGGGCUUGACAUGUGGCGAAUCUCUGUGAAAGCAGGGAGUGCCUUAGGGAGCGCCAACACAGGUGGUGCAUGGCUGUCGUCAGCUCGUGUCGUGAGAUGUUGGGUUAAGUCCCGCAACGAGCGCAACCCUCGUUUUUAGUUGCCAUUUUAAUGGCUCUCUAGAGAGACUGCCGGGGACAACUCGGAGGAAGGUGGGGAUGACGCCAAGUCAGCAUGCCCCUUACGCCCUGGGCUACACACGUACUACAAUGGUUGGGACAAAGGGCAGCAAACCCGCGAGGGCAAGCGAAUCUCAUCAAACCCAGCCUCAGUUCAGAUUGCAGGCUGCAACUCGCCUGCAUGAAGGAGGAAUCGCUAGUAAUCGCAGGUCAGCAUACUGCGGUGAAUUCGUUCCCGGGCCUUGUACACACCGCCCGUCACACCAUGGAAGCUGGCUACGCCCGAAGUCGUUACCCUAACCCUUAGGGGAGGGGGAUGCCGAAGGUAGAGCUAGUGACUGGGGUGAAGUCGUAACAAGGUAAC